AAAGGGCAACCAGCAAACAUUCUCAGGUAUCAUGACAAGAGACAAGCCAGGAGACAAGACUGCCUCUUUCUGUGAUGCCACACGGACUCUCCUAGAGCCUUGGCACUGAGGCCGGGAAUUCCAUGUUCUCAACUGCCGUUGCCUAGCAACGGAGCUUGUGACCGUUUGAGGUUCCUCAGCACCUGGAGGUUGGCAGAGGUGGCCUGUGGUGACCUUCGCUCCGUCACUACAGGAGAGGAUGGCGUCCCAAAGACUCCUGGAGGGAAUUGAUUUUGAUGAAGAUCAAAUAUCAGAAAUCAGCCUGGAAGAUGGGGAGUAUCUUCCUCCAAGGUAAUCCUGUGCUAAUCCCCUCCCCCAUAAUCAAUUGCUUUUUAAAAAAACCCCGGUAAGAGUAAGGUUCAAAGUACUGAUGGAGCCGAGAGAAAGGGGCGGGUUCGCAGUCCCAAACCUCAAGCUGUAUUUUGAGGCUGCAUGCAUCACAUGGCUGAAAGAUUGGAUGUUACUGACAGAUACUGAAAUCUUAGACCUGGAGGGCUGGGACAAACUUUUCGGGUGGCAUGGCUACCUGGGUCACGAUAAAAUAAAAGCACAUAUAGGAUUCACUAAUCAUUUGGUGAGAAAGGCCCUAUUCGAAGUUUGGGAAAGAAAUAAAACAAUAGUAA